AUACGGAAGGUCCGGGCGUUAUCCGGAUUUAUUGGGUUUAAAGGGAGCGCAGGCGGAGAUGCAAGCGUGACGUCAAAUUUCGGGGCUCAACCCCGUCUCGCGUCGCGAACUGCGUCCCUUGGUUGCGGGAAGGGGAGGCGGAACUCGUGGUGUAGCGGUGAAAUGCAUAGAUAUCACGAAGAACUCCGAUCGCGAAGGCAGCCAUCCGGACCGUCAAAGACGCUCAUGCUCGAAGGUGCGGGUAUCAAACAGGAUUAGAUUCCCUGGUAGUCCGCGCAGUAAACGAUGGACACCCACGGUUUGGCCUAUAUGGCUGAGCCGCCAAGCGAAAGCGUUAAGUGUCCCACCUGGGGAGUACGCCGGCAACGGUGAAACUCAAAGGAAUUGACGGGG
rnacentral:rRNA from 1 species